UAGGGAAUAUUGGGCAAUGGGCGAGAGCCUGACCCAGCCAUGCCGCGUGCAGGAAGAAGGCUUUCUGAGUCGUAAACUGCUUUUGACAGGGAAGAAUAAGCCUUACGUGUAGGGUGAUGACGGUACCUGCAGAAUAAGCACCGGCUAACUCCGUGCCAGCAGCCGCGGUAAUACGGAGGGUGCGAGCGUUGUCCGGAUUUAUUGGGUUUAAAGGGUGCGUAGGCGGCCGUUUAAGUCUGGGGUGAAAGCCCGCUGCUCAACAGCGGAACUGCCCUGGAUACUGGAUGGCUUGAGUACAGACGAGGUUGGCGGAAUGGACGGAGUAGCGGUGAAAUGCAUAGAUACCGUCCAGAACACCGAUUGCGAAGGCAGCUGACUAGGCUGUUACUGACGCUGAGGCACGAAAGCGUGGGGAGCGAACA
rnacentral:rRNA from 1 species